ACAAGGCGAUGCAGAAAGAAACUGUACAGAAAUUUCCCUAAUAUGAAAAUAAUGGCAUUAUCUAUGAUAUUUUUCAAUAUAUUAGUACUUAUUAUAAGUACCUGUAAUUAUUAUAUACAUUUAUGGUUUUGUAGGAAAACAAUACUCAAUAACUUGACUUUUAACAGAAGUUUUUUCAUUGCUAAAAUUUGUUUUGUAAGACUUUAGAAUAGCACGAAGUUAAUGUAGUAAAAAGUUGUAUAAUACAUUUUUUAUACUAUGCAUGAAUUAAAUAUGUAAUUUGUAUUGCACAAGUCUCAUAAACGUGUAUCCCAAUUCU
rnacentral:misc_RNA from 1 species